rnacentral:rRNA from 1 species
GCAAGUCGAGGGGUAACAGGAUCUUCGGAUCGCUGACGACCGGCGCACGGGUGCGUAACGCGUAUGCAACCUACCUUUAACUGGAGGAUAGCCCCUGGAAAUCGGGAUUAAUACUCCAUAGUAUUCCCAAGUGUCAACACUCAGGAAUUAAAGCUCCGGCGGUUAAAGAUGGGCAUGCGUGACAUUAGUUUGUUGGUGAGGUAACGGCUCACCAAGACUACGAUGUCUAGGGGUUCUGAGAGGAUGACC